UUUCAGCCAGUUAAGCCAACUGUGCUCUUUUCCCCGUGGGGGCCCAGUGUACAAUGGCUGCAAACAGCAGCCUCCUCAGUGGUAUGUGCAGCCUGUUGCCUGUACGGGUUGCCCUCAGGGACACUGGAUUCGGCC